rnacentral:lncRNA from 1 species
GGUAACCGAAGCAAAUCAUCAGUGCCUGUCCUUGAACUUGGUGAAACUGUCUCAGCCUCAUGACCUGUGGUACUGGACAGAGACCACAAUACCUUGUCUACCCGGAGUGCCUGGAGCACUGUCUGCAGUUAGCUCCUGGAGGCUUGUCCUCAGUAGGCUUAGGGCAUGAGGAGCCCUGGAAAGCCCAGGAACCCAUGGAGGGCCCUGGAGAAACAGCACCUGUGGCUGAGGGGUUCACAGGCCCGACAGGAUCCACUCGGGUAGGAGCUAAAGGCAGAAGCGAGGAGGGGUGGAUGUUGAAGCAGAGGUACACUUGGGAUUGGGGAGCCAGUGAGAGAAAAGCGGAAAAUGAGGGGACUCGGUGAUGGGAUGGGGUCAUCUUAUGAUUCGUCCUUGCUGAAGUUGGAGUGCGUACUUUACCCCAGUUGCUACUGAGCUCACUUUGAGAUCUAAGGAAGAGCUAGAAAGAUCAGUUUUGUGACUGCUGUCCUUUCUUCUUGUCUGUACUUUGCUAACCUAGCUCUGAAUGCUUUGGUGCAGGAAACAUUUAUGUCUCCAUCCAGCCUGGACGAGUGAAGCUGCCAGGGUGCCUCUACUCCUCCGGCAGAAGGGGGCAGGUGGAGUCAUGCUUCUCCUCGGGGCUUCCUUCGGAAUAGUCUGUCCCACUGGGGCUUGAUCAGCGUCCCAGUUUCCUGUAUGCCUUCAAUCUCCAAACUGUGUUCGGGAGCAUUUUUUAAUGUUUAUUUUUAACUCAGAUGCCCUCCCUUACUUCUCUCACCAUGCAGUAACUCCACAAUCACAGCUGCUGGAGGAAUUCACCUCCAUGUCAUCACGAUCCCCCAGAAGCAUUUGCUUCCCAUUCUUGCCUUGAAAGAUGUGAAUCGUAAACACCGGUUUCUGUAGGCACCACUGAUUUCCUGAUUUAGUUUUGAUCAACCUCUGGAGGAGGAAAUGCAUUCAGCAUCAUAUUAUACAUGGAAAAAGAAGAAAUCUGGAUAUAGACACAGACGUACACACAUGCACACAUAUGGAGAAAACUGUGUGAAGAUGAUGGCAGAGCCAGAAGGAUGCCUCUACAAGACAACGGACACCAGAGAUUGCCAGCAACCACCAGAAGCUGGGGGGGCCAGGAGCUGGUGCUCCCUCCAAGCCUCAGGAGGGACCAGCCCUGCCCACACCUUGAUGCUGGACCUCCAGCUGAGAGAGUACAUUCCUGUAGGAAGAACAAGGACUUGGAAGUCAAAUAAGCUUAGAGCAAUUCUGCCUAACUGUGGGACUUUGAGUAAAAUUUCUUGGCUUCUUGGGACCUCAGUUUGUAAAUUGGGCGUGUCAUCCUUCCCUCAUAGGUCAUCAAGAGGAAAUGCACUGUCCUGCACAAGCAUGGCGCCCAAGGCUUGGCACUUGGGGGGCCACUCAUGGGAGCCCACUUUCGUGACCCCUCUUCCUACUGGGAAGAGUAGGGGAACCAUGGGAGGCAGGUCCUGCUAUCUGUUGAGCAGCACCUUCCAACCCUGA